CUCUUAGAACAUCUAGAAGCGGCUCUUCUUGCCUGUGUUUCUGCAAGAGUCAGAAACCACUUGCUAAUAGCUUAAUUCCAUUUCUCUGCAGACGGGCCGAUCCGAUUGCAGGAGAGGGAGUAUGUGGUCUGCCGGGGCCUGGAAGCUGGGGCGGCCCGCAUUCCCUGACCCCGCGGAACCACUGACUCACUCUGUAACCCAGGGUGACGUCGCGAACCCCAGAGGUCUUGCCGUCCACCCAGCUGGAAAAUUUGGACUGUUAUUAGUAUCCAGAAAAGGAGCAAUCAGCACUACGGGAGGGAGAAGAGAUGAGUCCAACAGGAAAGCUUCUCGGAAAACACAAUGGGUAUAGCAUAGCACCUGACAGCAGAAGCUCAAUAAAUGUUUGCUGAAAGAAUGAAGAUGACCAAGCGUGAAUAGCGUAAUAGCAUAAGAAAAUACCAAACAUGGGGAAGUAACAAAGUUACAGAAAUGUACAAAAUCUUAUAAUCCUGGACUCGGGCCUCAAACUCUCAACUCCCUUCACAGAAGGUGGACUCGAAGAAAGGAACGAAUCCUAAACAUGUUUCGUGUCUCCGGGUGGUUAAUCUUGCAAAAGUAUGAGGGGAAAUAGGAAGCUUCUAGGCAGAGAGGCUGGUCUAUCUGUGGAGAUGGUUCAUGUUGAAAAAUGGACAGCUGAGACUGCACAUAACAAGAAAUGCAGAAGGGCAGGCUCCGUGUGCCCCCCACAAGGCAUGGUUGUGGGAGGUUCCGCCAUCACACACAGAAGCCACACACCCCCAAAGAGGCAAAGAUGGACGCUUCGGCAUUUUAGGCCCAAAGAAACCUUUGCCAAAAGGCCCAUGGUAGACCUCUUGUCCUCACACUUCUUUGAAAAGAAUGUGGCCACGUACCCAUUCCUAAACCAAUCCCCGGAAAGGGGAAUGGAAUCAGUGCAACUGACUUAGGUUCUUUGUUCAGGGUGGGGUGGAGGCCGGUGAGAAAAUCUGCAUGGAGGCUCUUCCAGUUGAGGAGUCAUUGCCGCUACGUAGCUUAAGGAAUUCCAAAAGUCUGAACUUGUUUUAUUUAUUGUAGGUUAAAUAGUUAUGAAAGUAGGAUGGAAGAGACAUUUGCAAGAGAGGACAGUCAUCCACUGAACAUGGGGGGAAGGGCAAGCGAGAGGGGGAAAUCAAAGAGGUUCUGACGUUGAAUUUCUCCUCAAACUUGAUCUGCAGCAACAGCCGAGAGAUAGGGAGCCACUUACUGACUAUUUCCAGAAACUUGGAGACUAUUCCCAGACUGAAAGUUCACUUGUGGUUAACAAGGAACAAACAAACAAAACCCAAAGCGACUCUCAGAAUGCGGGGUUCAGAGCACUUCAUUAUGCGGCAGGACAGGGGUCGGGUCAGCUAAGAACAGCGGAGGCAAUAAAUUCUUCAUGUGGCUCACGACCACUUCACCUCCCAGAUGGUUGAAAAACUGAGAAGGAGACACAUUCUUCUGCUUCGAAUUUUGAUCAGCUGGGACAAAUUAGGUAAGAAGAACAACUCGGCAGAAAGUAGCAGCUCUCAGUUUGGGAAAGCAGGGAGGAAAAGCAUUAGCUCGCUCAGACAGAGGCCUUCAACAUCGGGCAGGGUGGAUGCUCAGAGUUCAGAGAAAAGAUAGGAGGUUAGAGACUCGCAUGAAGACAUUCUGGCUACAGUUCCAUCUGGUGUGGAUGGUGUAGGACCAAGAGGGGAGCUACAAGACAUUUUGUGGCUUCCCAGGGUGCUUUCUGAUGAUUCUCGAUUUUCAAAGAGUAUCUGUUAAAAGAUGGAAGGAGUUAUCAUCCCAGAAUGGCAAAAACCUUGACCAUGGCGUUAGACAGAAUAUGGGGUAAAUCCUGUACUGACUCUUAGUGGCUGUGUGGCCUCAGACAAGUUGUACAACUGCUCUGUGCCUUCAUUUCCUUAUCUUUAAACCACACCUAAGAAGUCCUUCCCAACUGGGUCGUUUAGGAUAAAGAAGAUCAUAUGUGUAGAGCACCUUAUCAUGAUAGCAGGCACAAUGUAACUGAUAUGUUACAUUGCAUGUAUCACAUGUAUCUGUAUUCUACAGAUUAUAGAAUCCACAAUGUAGAUUGUAGAAACUAUGGUAAUAAAAAAGAAUUUAAAAAGUCAGAAACAUUUUCUACGAUUCUAUUUUUUAGAGGAGUCUCUUCAGCAUGCCCAAAGAAUUCAAUCAGUAGACAAAAACGCCAAAGGAAAAAAAAAUGGAAACUCUCUGCCCCCAACGAGCCUGCUGAGCUCCCCUCUCCAAACGUAACCACUGCUAACAGUUUCUUAUGAUUACUUCUAGAAAACAUUCCAAAACAAGUUUUAUUUUUCAUUAAAGGCCACAUAAGCUGCAAAAAGAAAAAAAAAACAAGUUGGUCAAAUACGGUGUGUGGUGAAAUCUAAGUUAGCAGUAGAAGCAAAAGAACACACACGUCCAAUUCGCCUCCCCGUCCUCCCUCCCUCUCCCCUUCUGCUCAUCUCUUCCUGUCCUUCCUUCUCUUUUCUCCAUGCCAAGUAGGUAGACUGGAGCCCAGUGGCCCGAGACCGUGGAAGAUCCAGCCAAGAGAGGAGGCCGCCAUGUGCCUGGCAGAGCCACACGGGGUCAGCAGGGGGGCCUCGGUGAUGUAGCUCCAGGAGCUGGGGGGACCCAGGAAGAAAGGAUGGAAGCGCUGCCGCGAGUGUGUGAGGAACUUUGGUGACCGGAGAAUGGGCUCCCAAAUCUCAGACAGUACAUCAAAGUGGAUGCCUCCCGUAGUCUAGUAGACGAGUCACUUCAGCGCAGAACCUGAGCACCCUCUAGAAUGGAGAGGUGAGCAACUGGGAAAGGAGAUGUAGAAAGCCCCAAACGGACCCAACACCUUCUCUUCUCUGACUGGUUCACUAGACCUAGAAUCUACAGGGAAUGUUGGAGACACAGUGGAUCUGGCUGUCAAGAGGCAGUAGACCAAGUUGGGAGAGUAGAGAGUGUGAUCUGGGGAUAAAGACAUUCAUGCGGCUUCCUAAUUAGCUGAGGCCACCAGAGGUGAAGGAUGCUGAGGAGGGGACCUGACGGGUGGCAGCCACGAAACCAUCCACAUCAUCCUACCCAGCAAGCCCAUGGUUGGCAGGAGACCUUAGCCUUAUCUGAUACCCUUUUUCUUUUUUUAAAGGAGAAUGUGCUUUAAUGUUACAUGUAUAAAUCAAAA